rnacentral:tmRNA from 1 species
GGGGGCGACAGGUUUCGACUGGGAGACUGGUUGCCUGGGUUGCAAGCCGAGGAGCCGUUGGCCUCGUAAAAAGCGGCAAAAAACACAAACGCGAAUACAAACUUCGUGACCCAGCGCAGCUAUGCGCUGGCCGCGUAACCCUAAAAAAGUUACCGGAUAGCGUCGCCUUUUAGGCGGCCCGUCCGACUCCUCUCGCCUGCCGAGGAGACCCGGGCGUAAUUACGCUGGCUUGCUUUCCGGAGACCGAGAAUCGGCCGGAAGGGACUCCCUGGUUCUCCCGCGCCGGCGAACCCUGUUCCUGGGGGCCAAAGGCGUUCAAUACAAAUCAGGAACUAAGCUUGUAGAUGCCUUGGUAUCCGCUACUCAGGACGAGGGUUCAAUUCCCUCCGCCUCCACCA